rnacentral:lncRNA from 1 species
UGAACUACUGCAGGUUCAGCUUACCAUGUAGUAUUUUCUUUACAACAAGGCCUCACACGAGCAAAACUGUCAUCUUGUUGUUUAGUUUUGGCCCGGGACUGCAAUUUUUUCCCUUAUUGCAUUCUUUAGUGCAUAAAAUAAAAUAUAUAAUGUGCAUAAAAGCCGAAAACAACCAUUACGAUCAUAGUAGGCGAACUGAAAUUGUAGGGAUAUAAAGCAGUACCUGAACAUACAAAAGCUGGCCACAACUCUGUCUUCAAUUCCAUCUUGUUUCCAGAUUUCAGGAGUAGAUCAUCACCACCAUUACAGAUCAGGCUCUUUGUCAGUGCAAAUAACAGACUAACACCACAAGGACUUCAUUAACCUUAGCCACUUCUUAUGGGUACAUGAGAACUAAAAAAAUUCAUCUGUUAAAAUUUGUUUUUUUGACUUUUUGGACUAAUUCAUGUGCAGAAUUUAUAUUUUCAAUUAGACUGAUUUAUUGUAGUUUUAUCAACGACUAUAGUAUAUUAAGAUGUGGGCACUAUAUCGAAAGUGUUGUUCUACACCCGAGGUCAUGUGAGCUUGGUUGAACAGUAAAAUAAAUAAAAAAUGGAAAAACAAUUCAAAAAAUGUGAUUUCUUUCCGUGUGAGACACUGAAAAAAUGUUUAUUAGCUUGCAAAAUUUCAAUACUAUCUUUCUUGACUGAUUGUUUGUGGUCUGCCAUGAGCCCACGACGUAGCCAUCUGCAUCUGCCUCGCCUUGAGGCCACAGCAGCACCCCUGCCCUUCUGCUCCUGCUGGCGACCGCAACCCUCUGGCGGCAGCAACACCGCUCUCGUGUGCUGGCCUUGCUGUCUCAUCUCCUCUCUCUCUCAUGUUUGGGUAUGAUGUUAGCGUUAUGUGUGUGUGGAUGGAUAUGAUGCUACCAUGGUGUGUGUAAAAAUCUAUUUUUGGUUUAUUUCUCUUUGGAGUAUUGCUGUUGGAGAUGAGCUUAAGAGGCGAAAGAGUAAAGAUCUGGUAAGCUGUUUGUAUUGCUUCAGGAGAAUCUUUUAUCACUGUUUUUGGGACUGUAUUUAUGUCAAAGAGGCAUGUAGGGAGCUGGAACAAAUUUGUUACUUCUCAUGGCCACUUUUUUGAACAUGAUUAUUGAGCUUGACUAUGCGGAGGUAGGAAAAAAUAUCAGCGUAAUGGGUUUGAGAGAUAUCAUGUUAUCCCUUCUGUUCAGGAAAUUAAGGAGAUCUGUGCGAGUAAUAUUCGGGUGNNNNNNNNNNNNNNNNNNNNNNNNNNNNNNNNNNNNNNNNNNNNNNNNNNNNNNNNNNNNNNNNNNNNNNNNNNNNNNNNNNNNNNNNNNNNNNNNNNNNUGAAGUAUUUUGAACAAGCUUGUCCUUUGCCUUAUGCUGGAACAAGGCACCUUCUAUUCCCCAUGGGCACCAAGAAUGCGAAAACAUUGAUGAUUCGAGCAAAUGUAAGUUCAGGCUUCAAGAUUGAGCCGAGCGCCCUACCAGCAGAUCUGGAUAAUGCAUACAAGAAUGAGAAAGCAUAUCAGCGAUUGGAUAUUUCUGGCCCUACAGUUAACCCUUUUGUUUUUUCCUGUACGGCGAGGGCGAGAUAAAAGAUAUGCUUUCUGUUUGUGCUGAGCAUGGAGCUUGGGUAGUGAUAGACACCUUCUCUGGUCUGGAGUUCCACAACAGAGAUGGCUGGAUUUUGCGGAACGGGUAAUUUUUUUAUUAUAGCAUUUGCUUAUAUGACCUUUCCUUGGUCAAACAUAUUUCACAAGUAAUUUGUUUUCUUCAAAAAGGAGGAUAUUUUCACAAGCCCAAACCGACCACAUAGCACUUUGAAAUGCACUUAUAGGAAGUUGUUGGUUUUGAAAAACAAGAGGGAUCAACAUUUCUCUAAUCUCAUCACGCCAACAAACUGACGAAGGUUAGUCCCUGACAUACCUCCCAAACCUUAGUUCAGAUAUAAAGGUUGGUAGUUCAGAGAAAUUCAGUAUUUGACAUGCGUGCUAUCCUUUUUGUUGUCUUUCUCUGGUUUCGUGCGAUGAACAGACACUCGAGAGCUGUGGUUGGGAUGUCGCCAGGUACCACUGUGGGAUGUCGCCAGGUACCACUGUGACACGCGUACAUCGGCAAAUCGUUCAGGGUGGAUGAUUUUGAAGGCGAGCUCGACGGCUGCAAUAUCAGGGAAGCCCUACUGAACUACUGCAGGUUCAGCUUACCAUGUAGUAUUUUCUUUACAACAAGGCCUCACACGAGCAAAACUGUCAUCUUGUUGUUUAGUUUUGGCCCGGGACUGCAAUUUUUUCCCUUAUUGCAUUCUUUAGUGCAUAAAAUAAAAUAUAUAAUGUGCAUAAAAGCCGAAAACAACCAUUACGAUCAUAGUAGGCGAACUGAAAUUGUAGGGAUAUAAAGCAGUACCUGAACAUACAAAAGCUGGCCACAACUCUGUCUUCAAUUCCAUCUUGUUUCCAGAUUUCAGGAGUAGAUCAUCACCACCAUUACAGAUCAGGCUCUUUGUCAGUGCAAAUAACAGACUAACACCACAAGGACUUCAUUAACCUUGGCCACUUCUUAUGGGUACAUGAGAACUAAAAAAAUUCAUCUGUUAAAAUUUGUUUUUUUGACUUUUUGGACUAAUUCAUGUGCAGAAUUUAUAUUUUCAAUUAGACUGAUUUAUUGUAGUUUUAUCAAUGACUAUAGUAUAUUAAGAUGUGGGCACUAUAUCGAAAGUGUUGUUCUACACCCGAGGUCAUGUGAGCUUGGUUGAACAGUAAAAUAAAUAAAAAAUGGAAAAACAAUUCAAAAAAUGUGAUUUCUUUCCGUGUGAGACACUGAAAAAAUGUUUAUUAGCUUGCAAAAUUUCAAUACUAUCUUUCUUGACUGAUUGUUUGUGGUCUGCCAUGAGCCCACGACGUAGCCAUCUGCAUCUGCCUCGCCUUGAGGCCACAGCAGCACCCCUGCCCUUCUGCUCCUGCUGGCGACCGCAACCCUCUGGCGGCAGCAACACCGCUCUCGUGUGCUGGCCUUGCUGUCUCAUCUCCUCUCUCUCUCAUGUUUGGGUAUGAUGUUAGCGUUAUGUGUGUGUGGAUGGAUAUGAUGCUACCAUGGUGUGUGUAAAAAUCUAUUUUUGGUUUAUUUCUCUUUGGAGUAUUGCUGUUGGAGAUGAGCUUAAGAGGCGAAAGAGUAAAGAUCUGGUAAGCUGUUUGUAUUGCUUCAGGAGAAUCUUUUAUCACUGUUUUUGGGACUGUAUUUAUGUCAAAGAGGCAUGUAGGGAGCUGGAACAAAUUUGUUACUUCUCAUGGCCACUUUUUUGAACAUGAUUAUUGAGCUUGACUAUGCGGAGGUAGGAAAAAAUAUCAGCGUAAUGGGUUUGAGAGAUAUCAUGUUAUCCCUUCUGUUCAGGAAAUUAAGGAGAUCUGUGCGAGUAAUAUUCGGG